AUGCUCUGUAGCAGGGGAAAUACUAUGAUGGAAGGUGGUUUUCCAGCAAUGCUCAUCCGCUGCACUUUUUUUUUAAAUUUCCCCGAACGCAGGAAACACAACUGAAUAAUUUGUGGUAGUGGGGUUUGCAUUUGUGCUCUAAUCUA
rnacentral:snRNA from 1 species